rnacentral:rRNA from 1 species
AUUGAACGCUGGCGGCAUGCCUUACACAUGCAAGUCGAACGGCAGCACGGGGGCAACCCUGGUGGCGAGUGGCGAACGGGUGAGUACCACAUCGGAACGUGUCCUGUUGUGGGGGAUAACCCACCGAAAGGUGAGCUAAUACCGCAUAACCUCGGAAAAGAACAGCAGGGGACUCGAAAGGGCCUUGCGCAAUUGGAGCCGCCGAUGUCCGAUUAGCUAGUUGGUAGGGUAAAGGCCUACCAAGGAGACGAUCGGUAGCUAGUCUGAGAGGAUGAUCAGCCACACUGGGACUGAGACACGGCCCAGACUCCUACGGGAGGCAGCAGUGGGGAAUUUUGGACAAUGGGGGCAACCCUGAUCCAGCCAUGCCGCGUGAGUGAAGAAGGCCUUCGGGUUGUAAAGCUCUUUCGGUGGGAACGAAACGGUUACGGAUAAUACCCGUGACUACUGACGGUACUCACAGAAGAAGCACCGGCUAACUACGUGCCAGCCGCCGCCGUAACAC